CGGAGGGUGCAAGCGUUAUCCGGAUUCACUGGGUUUAAAGGGUGCGUAGGUGGGUUGGUAAGUCAGUGGUGAAAUCUCCAGGCUUAACUUGGAAACUGCCAUUGAUACUAUCAAUCUUGAAUACCGUGGAGGUUAGCGGAAUAUGUCAUGUAGCGGUGAAAUGCUUAGAUAUGACAUAGAACACCAAUUGCGAAGGCAGCUGGCUACACGAAUAUUGACACUGAUGCACGAAAGCGUAGGGGAUCAAACAGGAUUAGAUACCCUGGUAGUCCACGCCCUAAACGAUGGAUACUCGACAUACGCGAUAUACAGUGUGUGUCCUGAGCGAAAGCAUUAAGUAUCCCACCUGGGAAGUACGAUCGCAAGAUUAG
rnacentral:rRNA from 1 species